rnacentral:lncRNA from 1 species
CAUUUUGCUGUGUGGGCCUUGGGGAGGGGUUUGGGGUUUGGGGGCAGUGGAAGCCACAGAGUAUUCAGCAGGGAAGGGGACAGCGGAGACAUGGCCUAGGACAGCAUAGGGGAGAGCAGAGAUGACUUAGCCUAGGACAGCGUAGUGGAAGUGAAGGGAAGUGCUGAGAUUCAGCGGGUCAGGAUGGGGGAACAAAGGGGACUUGAGGUGAAGACACAUCACAAUCCUGAUGACCUCCGGGGCCACCAGCACCCCUGACUGGAUGGGUGGGGGGCACUCCCCGAGACAGGGGCACCUGAGACAGUGUUAGGGAAGGAAGGAUGUGGUGGGAGGAUCAUGCGUUCUGUGUUGGGUCAGAGGAGAUGAGAUCAAAUCACGGCAAGUAGAAGGGUCCGGCAGCGUGCGUCAUUGGUCCGACGGGAUCUGAGUCCAAAGAUGCCAUCCGUAACUUUUUAAGAAUGUGAACAGCCUUUCUAGGUGGCUCUGACACCGAUGGGCACAGUUCCUGAGUCGAAAGCCUGCUUUGCAUGUCUUUGGGGCCAACUCUUUCAUCGCAACCAGUGAACGCUAGUUAGGCAAGCUGGAAGCUGUAGGAUGAUCAAAAUACAAACGUGCAUCCAUCACCAACACAUGAGGGCGGCUGCUGUCCUUCAAGUCUGCGUUGCCAAGCUGGAGACAGGUGCACACGGCGGGAAGCAGGCACAGGAGCCUUGACCUGACAAGGUCCCCGAGGCCAGGCGAGGUCUCAGGAAGUCUGAGUUUGCAAGGCGCCGCCAGAGACUGCACUUCAGUGUACCGUGGUCCUGGUCCAAGGGGCCAGGCCAAGAGCAGCAGGGCCGUUCAUGCUCAGAGGCCCACUUGGAAGACACGGAGCCUCCCAUCCCUUGAGUUUUCUGAGGGGUGCCCAUGUUCUCUCUUACAGGGAUGCCACCUUCAAGGCACGGAGAAGCCACCUGCUUCCUCAGACAGAUCCCAAGCAGAGGUCUCACCUGCCUUUGCUCUUUUGCUGAUUAAAUGGCAAAUGCUGAUCAAGAAAGUAAAGUUGUCCAUUGGCUUUGCGCUGGCCCUUUGGUCUCAGGAGACAGAGAAGACAGAUGAAAGUGAAAGAUGUGUUUGCAAGCUUCAGCCCAAACUCCUUUGACUAAGUGAGGUCCUUGUGUGAGCCAGUUUUCCCCCCCAAACUUCUGAUUUCCUGUCUAUCAGAUGGGGUGAUAACGGCACUUGCUCUACAGCCCAGUGAAAUCGCGGGUGGAGGAGUUCGUGUCCUAGAGGCUGCCGUAACAAAGCGCUGUCAACUGGGCGGCUUAAGACAACAGCGGUUUAUUCCUUUAGGGAUCUGGAGGCUGGAAGCCUGAGAUGGAGGUGUGGGC